AACGAACGCUGGCGGCAUGCCUAACACAUGCAAGUCGAACGAGACCUUCGGGUCUAGUGGCGCACGGGUGCGUAACGCGUGGGAACCUGCCCUUAGGUUCGGAAUAACUCCCCGAAAGGGGUGCUAAUACCGGAUAAUGUCUUCGGACCAAAGAUUUAUCGCCUUUGGAUGGGCCCGCGUUGGAUUAGCUAGUUGGUAGGGUAAAAGCCUACCAAGGCGACGAUCCAUAGCUGGUCUGAGAGGAUGAUCAGCCACACUGGGACUGAGACACGGCCCAGACUACUACGGGAGGCAGCAGUGGGGAAUAUUGGACCAUGGGCGAAAGCCUGAUCCAGCAAUGCCGCGUGAGUGAUGAAGGCCUUAGGGUUGUAAAGCUCUUUUACCCGGGAUGAUAAUGACAGUACCGGGAGAAUAAGCUCCGGCUAACUCCGUG
rnacentral:rRNA from 1 species